AUUGAACGCUGGCGGCAGGCCUAACCCAUGCAAGUCGAGCGAGCGGCGGACGGGUGAGUAUUGUCUGGGAAACUGCCUGAUGGAGGGGGAUAACUCCUGUAAACGGUAGCUAAUACCGCAUACCAUCAGAUCUGCCCAGAUGGGAUUAGCUGGUAGGUGGGGUAACGGCUCACCUAGGCGACGAUCCCUAGCUGGUCUGAGAGGAUGACAAGCCACACUGGAACUGAGACACGGUCCAGAAUCCUACGGGAGGCAGCAGUGGGGAAUAUUGCACAAUGGGCGAAAGCCUGAUGCAGCAAUGCCGCGUGUGUGAAGAAGGCCUUCGGGUUGUAAAGCACUGUCAGCGGGGAGGCGUUACCCGCAGAAGAAGCACCGGCUAACUCCGUGCCAGCAGCCGCGGUAAUAC
rnacentral:rRNA from 1 species